AUUGAACGCUGGCGGCAUGCCUUACACAUGCAAGUCGAACGGCAGCACGGGUGCUUGCACCUGGUGGCGAGUGGCGAAUGGGUGAGUAGUACAUCGGAACAUGUCCUGUAGUUGGGGAUAGCCCGGCGAAAGCCGGAUUAAUACCGCAUACGAUCCACGGAUGAAAGCGGGGGACCUUCGGGCCUCGCGCUAUAGGGUUGGCCGAUGGCUGAUUAGCUCGUUGGUGGGGUAAAGGCCUACCAAGGCGACGAUCAGUAGCUGGUCUGAGAGGACGACCAGCCACACUGGGACUGAGACACGGCCCAGACUCCUACGGGAGGCAGCAGUGGGGAAUUUUGGACAAUGGGCGAAAGCCUGAUCCAGCAAUGCCGCGUGUGUGAAGAAGGCCUUCGGGUUGUAAAGCACUUUUGUCCGGAAAGAAAUCCUUGACUCUAAUACAGUCGGGGGAUGACGGUACCGGAAGAAUAAGCACCGGCUAACUACGUG
rnacentral:rRNA from 1 species